UAGGCACAGACAGCUUUCUCAUCAAAUCCUGCCAACCCAGCAAUUUUAUCAGAAGCCUCAGCACCCACUUUUCAAGAUGGAAGUUUAUAUCCAAGACUGUAUCCUGAACUUUCCCAGUAUAUGGGCCUGAGCCUGAGUGAAGAGGAGAUACAUAGAAACUUGUCAGUGGUUCCUGCUGCUGAUUCUCAGGGGCUUGUUGCAAGACCUUCUGCGGUGAAUUAUAUGGUGGCUCCAGUAACUGGAAGUGAUGUUGGAAUUCGUCGAGCAGAAAUUAAACAAGGGAUCCGUGAAAUAAUCUUGUGUAAAGAUCAGGAUGGAAAAAUCGGGCUUCGUCUUAAAUCGGUAGACAAUGU